rnacentral:rRNA from 1 species
AUACGUAGGGUGCAAGCGUUAAUCGGAAUUACUGGGCGUAAAGCGUGCGCAGGCGGUUUUGUAAGACAGUGGUGAAAUCCCCGGGCUCAACCUGGGCACUGCCCUUGUGACUGCAAGGCUGGCGUGCGGCAGAGGGGGAUGGAAUUCCGCGGGUAGCAGGGAAAUGCGUAGAUAUGCGGAGGAACACCGAUGGCGAAGGCAAUCCCCUGGGCCUGCACUGACGCUCAUGCACGAAAGCGUGGGGAGCAAACAGGAUUAGAUACCCUGGUAGUCCACGCCCUAAACGAUGUCAACUGGUUGUUGGGGAUUUAUUUUCUCAGUAACGAAGCUAACGCGUGAAGUUGACCGCCUGGGGAGUACGGCCGCAAGGUUAAAACUCAAAUGAAUUGACGGGG